GACGAACGCUGGCGGCGUGCCUAAUACAUGCAAGUCGAACGAAGUGGGGACGGGUGAGUAACACGUGGGUAAACUCCCCAGCAGAGGGGAGAACACUUGGAAACAGGUGCUAAACCGAUACCAUCGGAUGUGCCCAGAUGGGAGUAGCUAGUUGGGGAGGUAACGGCUCACCAAGGCCACGAUGCAUAGCCGACCUGGGAGGGUGAUCAGCCACACUGGGACGGCGACACGGCCCAGACUCCUACGGGAGGCAGCAGUAGGGAAUCUUCGGAAAUGGACGAAAGCCUGACCGAGCAACGCCGCGUGAGUGAAGAAGGUUUUCGGAUCGUAAAACUCUGGUGUUAGAGAAGCGGUAUCUAACCAGAAAGCCACGGCUAACUACGUGCCAGCAGCCGCGGUAAUUC
rnacentral:rRNA from 1 species